UUACAAGGCACUGGUCAGAUGGCAUUUGGAGUAUUGUGAGCAAUUUGGACCUCAUAUCUGAGGAAGGAUGUGCCGGCGUUGGAGAGGGUCCAGAGGACAUUUACGAAAAUGAUCCAGAGGAUGAAUGGGUUAAUUUGUGGGAGAGUCUAGGACCAGA